UUUCCAUAGGUGAACCUGCGGAAGGAUCAUUCAUAAUAAGUGUUUUACUGCACUUUUUAAAAAUCAGUAUUCACCUUGUGUGCAAUGUUUGCUGACGAGUUCGCGUUUUUGAGCGUUCUUGGCAGUAUAAUACCAACCCUUUAUUGUAAUUUUUUGUCUGAAAUUUUUUGAAUACAUAAUUCGAAAUACAACUUUUAACAACGGAUCUCUUGGCUCUC
rnacentral:misc_RNA from 1 species